UACGUAGGGGGCGAGCGUUGUCCGGAUUCAUUGGGCGUAAAGCGCUUUAAGGCGGUUCGGUAAGUCGGGUGUGAAAGUCCAGGGCUCAACCCUGGAAUGCCGGUGGAUACUGUCGGGCUCGAGUCCGGAAGAGGCGAGUGGAAUUCCUGGUGUAGCGGUGAAAUGCGCAGAUAUCAGGAGGAACACCGAUGGCGAAGGCAGCUCGCUGGGACGGUACUGACGCUGAGACGCGAAAGCGUGGGGAGCAAACAGG
rnacentral:rRNA from 1 species